rnacentral:rRNA from 1 species
ACUCCUACGGGAGGCAGCAGUGGGGAAUAUUGCACAAUGGGCGCAAGCCUGAUGCAGCCAUGCCGCGUGUGUGAAGAAGGCCUUCGGGUUGUAAAGCACUUUCAGUAAGGAGGAAAGGUUAGUAGUUAAUACCUGCUAGCUGUGACGUUACUUACAGAAGAAGCACCGGCUAACUCCGUGCCAGCAGCCGCGGUAAUACGGAGGGUGCGAGCGUUAAUCGGAAUUACUGGGCGUAAAGCGUACGCAGGCGGUUUGUUAAGCGAGAUGUGAAAG